CAGCAGCCACGGUAAUACGUAGGUGGCAAGCGUUGUCCGGAAUUAUUGGGCGUAAAGGGCUCGCAGGCGGUUUCUUAAGUCUGAUGUGAAAGCCCCCGGCUCAACCGGGGAGGGUCAUUGGAAACUGGGAAACUUGAGUGCAGAAGAGGAGAGUGGAAUUCCACGUGUAGUGGUGAAAUGCGUAGAGAUGUGGAGGAACACCAGUGGCGAAGGCGACUCUCUGGUCUGUAACUGACGCUGAGGAGCGAAAGCGUGGGGAGCGAACAGGAUUAGAUACCCCUGUAGUCCCUGUCUCUUAUAC
rnacentral:rRNA from 1 species